rnacentral:rRNA from 1 species
GAUGAACGCUGGCGGCGUGCCUAAUACAUGCAAGUCGAGCGAACAGACGAGGAGCUUGCUCCUCUGACGUUAGCGGCGGACGGGUGAGUAACACGUGGAUAACCUACCUAUAAGACUGGGAUAACUUCGGGAAACCGGAGCUAAUACCGGAUAAUAUAUUGAACCGCAUGGUUCAAUAGUGAAAGACGGUUUUGCUGUCACUUAUAGAUGGAUCCGCGCCGCAUUAGCUAGUUGGUAAGGUAACGGCUUACCAAGGCAACGAUGCGUAGCCGACCUGAGAGGGUGAUCGGCCACACUGGAACUGAGACACGGUCCAGACUCCUACGGGAGGCAGCAGUAGGGAAUCUUCCGCAAUGGGCGAAAGCCUGACGGAGCAACGCCGCGUGAGUGAUGAAGGUCUUCGGAUUGUAAAACUCUGUUAUUAGGGAAGAACAAAUGUGUAAGUAACGAUGCACGUCUUGACGGUACCUAAUCAGAAAGCCACGGCUAACUACGU